rnacentral:rRNA from 1 species
CCUACGGGGGGCAGCAGUGAGGAAUAUUGGUCAAUGGGCGAGAGCCUGAACCAGCCAAGUCGCGUGAGGGAGUACUGCUCUAUGGGUUGUAAACCUCUUUUUUCGGGGAGAAAAAGCCGGACGUGUCCGGCUGUGAGAGUACCCGAAGAAAAACCAUCGGCGAACUCCGUGCCAGCAGCCGCGGUAAGCCGGAGGAUGAGAGCGUUAGCCGGAUUUAUGGGGGUUACAGGGUGCUCAGGCGGAUUGUUAAGACAGCGGUCAAAUCGUGGGGCUCAACCCCAUCCAGCCGUUGAAACUGGGGAUCUAGAGUGUGCGAGAGGUAUGCGGAAUGCGUGGUGUAGCGGUGAAAUGCAUAGAUAUCACGCAGAACCCCGAUUGCGAAGGCAGCAUACCGGUGCACAACUGACGCUCAGGCACGAAAGCGUGGGUAUCGAACAGGAUUAGAUACCCUUGUAGUC